rnacentral:rRNA from 1 species
CAGUAGCCGCGGGAAUACGAAGGGGGCUAGCGUUGUUCGGAUUUACUGGGCGUAAAGCGCACGUAGGCGGACUUUUAAGUCAGGGGUGAAAUCCCGGGGCUCAACCCCGGAACUGCCUUUGAUACUGGAAGUCUUGAGUAUGGUAGAGGUGAGUGGAAUUCCGAGUGUAGAGGUGAAAUUCGUAGAUAUUCGGAGGAACACCAGUGGCGAAGGCGGCUCACUGGACCAUUACUGACGCUGAGGUGCGAAAGCGUGGGGAGCAAACAGGAUUAGAGACCCCGGUAGUCCCUGUCUCUUAUAC